rnacentral:rRNA from 1 species
CCUACGGGAGGCAGCAGUGAGGGAUAUUGCGCAAUGGGCGAAAGCCUGACGCAGCGACGCCGCGUGGGCGAGGAAGGCCUUCGGGUUGUAAAGCCCUUUUCGGGGGAAAGAAUGUCCCGACUUGUCGGGACUGACGGUACCUCCGGAAUAAGCCCCGGCCAACUACGUGCCAGCAGCCGCGGUAAUACGUAGGGGGCGAGCGUUGUCCGGAAUCACUGGGCGUAAAGCGUCCGUAGGCGGCCUGGUAAGUUGGGUGUGAAAGGUUGAAGCUCAACUUCAAGAUUGCACCCAAUACUGCCAGGCUUGAGUGUCGGAGAGGAGAAUGGAACUACCAGUGUAGCGGUGAAAUGCGUUGAUAUUGGUAGGACCACCAGUGGCGAAGGCGGUUCUCUGGACGACAACUGACGCUGAGGGACGAAAGCCAGGGGAGCGAACGGGAUUAGAUACCCCGGUAGU